rnacentral:rRNA from 1 species
UUAUAUGAGAGUUUGAUCCUGGCUCAGGAUGCACGCUGGCGGCGUGCUUAACACAUGCAAGUCGAACGAACUGAGAGGAGCUUGCUCCUCGAAGUUAGUGGCGGACGGGUGAGUAACGCGUGGGUAACCUGCCCUAUGCAGGGGGAUAACGUUUGGAAACGAA